AAGCUCUUCAGUGUUGUGCUCAUUGGUUUCAUCAAAGCAGGACAAUACUUGGCACUAAGUCGACAAAAUUCUCACUUCUGCAGUGGGUCUCUAGAUGUCCAUGACCCUGCCUUCUCAGGAAAAGAGGGAGGACAUGCGGCUGGAGGGACACAGAGGGCAAGACUGCAUCCCAGUUACAACACCAGGAAGCCACGUCUGAAAGGAAACUCCUCAGAAACCUGGGCAUAGGCUAUCGGGAAAGUAAAGAAGACAUCUGGAGAGGCGAAUAUUCUGAAGGAAUCUCUGCCAGAGGAGAAGGGAAAAGGAAAGCACUUAUCCAGGUCAAAGGCAUGAGUUUCCAGGAGAUUAUUCAUCGUGACUAGAGGAUGACUGUUGACUAGAUUUAUUCCACAGGUAUGGAAGGAAAAGUCUUGGUACAUUUUUUGCAGCAUUUCCUCCUCUCCAUAUAGACUGUUCUCAUUCUGCAGGGCUGGGGUUCACCCAGUAUUCAACUCCAAGCCCUUCACAUAGUAAAAGAAGUAAGGGGAGCCAGGCAUGGUGGCUUACACCUGUAAACCCAGCACUUUGGGAGGGCAAAGCAGGCAGAUUCAUUGAGCUCAGGAGUUCGACCCCAACCUGGGCAACAUGGUGAAACCCUGUCUCUACUAAAAA
rnacentral:lncRNA from 1 species